AGAGUUUGAUCCUGGCUCAGAGUGAUCGCUGGCGGCGUGCUUAACACAUGCAAGUCGAGCGAAUUUCAGCAGCGUAUCGCUGAAGUUAGCGGCAGACGGGUGAGUAAUAUUUGGGCAAUCUGCCCUUUAGUGGAAAACAACCUGCCGAAAGGCGGGCUAAUGUUCCAUAAGACCACAGGAGGACAUCCUCCAGGGGUUAAAGCUCCGCAAGGGGCGCUAGAGGAGGAGCCCGAAUCCUAUCAGCUAGUUGGUGAGGUAACGGCUCACCAAGGCUUUGACGGGUAGCCGGCCUGAAAGGGUGACCGGCCACACUGGCACUGAGACACGGGCCAGACUCCUACGGGAGGCAGCAGUGGGGAAUUUUGGACAAUGGGGGCAACCCUGAUCCAGCGACGCCGCGUGAAGGACGAAGGUCUUCGGAUUGUAAACUUCUUUUGGAGGGGAUGAAUGCCUGAGUGAAAAACUCAGGGUGACAGUACUCUCUGAAUAAGCCACGGCUAACUACGUGCCAGCAGCCGCGGUAAUACGUAGGUGGCAAGCGAUACUCGGAAUCACUAGGCGUAAAGCGCAGGUAGGCGGUUCGGUAAGUCUUUUGUGAAAGCUCCCGGCUUAACUGGGAGAGGUCAAAGGAAACUACCGGGCUAGAGUGUGGCAGAGGAAGCUAGAAUUCCCGGUGUAGCGGUGAAAUGCGUAGAUAUCGGGAGGAAUACCUAUGGCGAAAGCAGGCUUCUGGGCCAUCACUGACGCUGAUCUGCGAAAGCUAGGGGAGCAAACAGGAUUAGAUACCCCAGUAGUCC
rnacentral:rRNA from 1 species